GUCCACUUGCCGUUAGCGGAUGUGACGCCCGCCCGUUCGUGGCACAGUACUGCUGUCAAGAUCCUUCCGAUGCAGCCCGUGAGCUAGACCCACCAGUCAGCAGUGGGACACUUGAAUGCACCCCCCGGCCAGCAGGGGGUCGGUCCAUUUGUUGAGUAGAAGGGGAUCCAAGGACGAGCAGAGCAGUGGGCGGCGGCGGAUCGGCGGUGGUGCAGCCAUGGCGAUGGAUUUUCCAGUAUCUCCGGUGGGCAGGUUGCCCAUCUUCUCGGGUGAGGUAGGAGCUCACAUGGGCACUAUGCUAGUAUGUUCAGAGAAGAAGCAAGUGUUGAUGUCGGCUGCGGCGGGAUAUCCUUCGUCAGCGAGAGUGAAGGUGAUAAUGCUGAUGCCAUUGGACAUGGGGGUGUUUAAUCGCAUCUCGAUGGUCACCAGGAAGCUGUUAUCGGAGGUAGAACAUGAAUUGCAGAUGUAGGGUCUGCUCAGUCUACUGGCAAGGUUGAUCCUCAGGCCCCGGAUGGUCGAAGAGGUUAAGGGUUGGGAAUCAGCCUCCAGAUAGGGCUCCAUGUCCAUUCAUGCUGUAGGUUAAGGGUUGGGAAUCAGCCUCCAGAUAGGGCUCCAUGUCCUGAUAGAGUCGGAGCGCUUGAACAAACUAUUAGGGGCUAUGCAAAAACACUUGUUGACCAUGUGGUUGAGCCUGCUAUUGGUUUGACAUUUGACUCAUUGGGCAAGGCAUGUGAUUUUUACAACUUGUACCCUUGGGAGCAUGGAUUUGGCGUAAGGUACGGCAAAAGAAGACUUAACUCUGAGAAGACAAAGUGCAUGCAGGAAAUGGUGUGCGGAUGCUCUGUAAGUUCUUCGUUGUAAAGUUAUCGAAGAUUAUCAUGAGUAAAAUACUGAAAGGUAUGAAGAAGUGUUGAUGAUCUGUGAUAGCGAAGGGGACAACGCAGCGCUGGUGGGAGGCCAGGGUGCUGUAACUGAAGAUCGUUCUGAAAGUGGAGAUGCAGCAUCGGUGUCGUCUACUAGCAAAAUCGACCCGCAAGCCCCAGUUUGGACUAAAAAGGUUUAGUCAUUGACCUUGAAGGUUCUGCUGGUCAUGUGGACACUGGUGAGGUGCCAGGACACAUGGACCAGGCUGUCGGUGAUGUGGAUACUGCAAAUGCUUCAUCCAGUGCCUCUUGAGAUGAGUCUAUGGGGCAUUUGCCUGCUGUGAUGCAUGACAACAUCAUAACACUAGUUCCAUAUGGAGACAUUGAUGAAGAGGUUUCCCUGCCUGACGAUGAUGUUGCCUUCUGCCUGCAGUCAAUGUUUGCAGAACCAGGUUAGUGUAUGAAGAUCAUAAACAUGUUGCUGGUGAGAGUACAUUCAAGGACUACACGGUGCAGCUUAUGGGCACACAGAUCCAGACAUACUUUGAUUGAAACAGUGAUCCAAAGGUUGACCACAUAGUGGCAAUGUGGUGGCUGCUGAGGAAAGAGGAGGCAAAACUGUUUGCUGGUUUACCUGGACACUUUAGGGUGAUACCAGACUUGAGAUUUAGUGUUGAGUUCAUGGAAGCAGAGAGAUCAUUACACCUAGAGUUCGACUAGAUUGCAACAAUGAUAACCGAGGAACGCACUGGUGUGAGGAUUGAAGCUUGGAAAAAGACCACUCUGCUGCUGAAGUACCAGGAUAUCUGGGCAGUCUAUGCAAUUGACUUUGAGAAGAAGACAUGCCGCGUCAUGAAGUUGAAGCUAGGUAGGGAGAGAAGGUUGAAGAUGAAAGUGCACGGCAUCAUUUUAUUUUGGGGGAGGCAUUCUUCAGGAGACAGAACAAUGAGCUGGACUAUUCCUCCCACCCGAGUGAUUUGUGGUUCUGUUUCCCUAUCAUAUUAUUGUAAGGAUCUAUGAUCUAUGCAUGAACCUACGUAUGUAGCUAGUGCACUAGGUUGACAGAACUUUAAUCGCCUAGUGCACAACAGUUAAAAAGACCAGCUAGUUUGUAUGCAGAACCAUUAAGUACUCCCUCGGGUGUCACCUAGUUGAACCACGGCAAAUUGUUGGCAUAAUUUUAUCUACAUGA